GAAUUUGCACAUGGGACCUUUUCAUACACAUCACAAAUGGCAUUUAGAACUUGCUUGAACCAAGUUUGGACUGUUACAUUGACUGGUUUGGAAAAGGGCAUUUUGGCCAAAGUCAUGAAAAAUGCAUUUUAUACUAAUCAUUCCAAUUUGCUUAAUCUUGAUUAAAUUUUGGAUUAGUGUGAGGUAUAGAGUCUUAAUCAUAACUGUUUCUCAUAAGGACAAAUCAUUUUCUCAGAUCCAAAAGAAAAAUCUCAAGAUUUCUCU
rnacentral:lncRNA from 1 species